rnacentral:lncRNA from 1 species
CAACAUCACCACCGUUGUUGCCACCAUUGCAACACCCGCGGCCGCUGCCGCCGCGAUGGGCGCCCAAUUCUCGAAGCAGGUCGAGCGCCGCAAGGCGGUGGCGGCCGAGCGGCGGGCGCUGGCCGACCUUCUGGAGUCGGCGGGCGACCAAUUCCCGGGCUCUGACUUCCGGCCCGCCGACCGCAAGGCGUGGAUGUCGGCCCUCGGCCCCGACAAGCUCCGGAUCAGCCAGAUCGUCUGGCCGGGCACCCACGACUCCGCCACCAACAAGAUCGGCGUCCGCUUCGUCUCCCGGCCCUUCGCCCGAUGCCAGGACUGCUCCGUCUACCG